rnacentral:rRNA from 1 species
UUCCGGUUGAUCCCGCCGGACCUGACUGCUAUCGGAUUGAUACUAAGCCAUGCGAGUCUUUGUAGUAAUACAAGGCAGACGGCUCAGUAACGCGUAGUCAACCUACCCUAUGGACGGGAAUAAUCUCGGGAAACUGAGGAUAAUACCCGGCGUACCAUCAUUCCUGGAAUGGUUGGUGGUUAAAAUGAUUCGUCGCCGUAGGAUGGGACUGCGACCUAUCAGCUUGUUGGUGAGGUAAAGGCCCACCAAGGCGAUUACAGGUACGGGCUCUGAGAGGAGAAGCCCGGAGAUGGGUACUGAGACAAGGACCCAGGCCCUAUGGGGCGCAGCAGGCGAGAAAACUUUGCAAUGUGCGAAAGCACGACAAGGUUAGUCCGAGUGAUUUCUGCUAAAGAGAUCUUUUGCUAGUUAUAAAACCACUAGUGAAUAAGGGGUGGGCAAGUUCUGGUGUCAGCCGCCGCGGUAAAACCAGCACCUCAAGUGGUCAGGAUGAUUAUUGGGCCUAAAGCAUCCGUAGCCGGCUCUGUAAGUUUUCGGUUAAAUCUAUGCGCUCAACGUAUGGGCUGCCGAAAAUACUGCAGAGAUAGGGAGUGGGAGAGGUAGACGGUACUCGGUAGGAAGGGGUAAAAUCCUUUGAUCUAUCGAUGACCACCUGUGGCGAAGGCGGUCUACCAGAACACGUUCGACGGUGAGGGAUGAAAGCUGGGGGAGCAAACCGGAUUAGAUACCCGGGUAGUCCCAGCCGUAAACGAUGCAGACUCGAUGAUGCAUUGGCAUAUAGCCAGUGCAGUGUCGCAGGGAAGCCGUUAAGUCUGCCGCCUGGGAAGUACGUACGCAAGUAUGAAACUUAAAGGAAUUGGCGGGGGAGCACCACAAGGGGUGAAGCCUGCGGUUCAAUUGGAUUCAACGCCGGG